UGGGGAAUCUUGGACAAUGGGGGCAACCCUGAUCCAGCCAUGCCGCGUGGGUGAUGAAGGCCUUAGGGUCGUAAAGCUCUUUCGCCUGUGAAGAUAAUGACGGUAGCAGGUAAAGAAACCCCGGCUAACUCCGUGCCAGCAGCCGCGGUAAUACGGAGGGGGUUAGCGUUGUUCGGAAUUACUGGGCGUAAAGCGCACGUAGGCGGACCAGAAAGUUGGGGGUGAAAUCCCGGGGGCUCAACCCCGGAACUGCCUCCAAAACUAAUUGGUCUAGAGUUCGAGAGAGGUGAGUGGAAUUCCGAGUGUAGAGGUGAAAUUCGAUAGAUAUUUGGAGGAACACCAGUGGCGAAGGCGGCUCACUGGCUCGAUACUGACGCUGAGGUGCGAAAGUGUGGGGAGCAAACAGGAUUAGAUACCCUGGUAGUCCACACCGUAAACGAUGAAUGCCAGUCGUCGGGUAGCAUGCUAUUCGGUGACACACCUAACGGAUUAAGCAUUCCGCCUGGGGAGUACGGUCGC
rnacentral:rRNA from 1 species